GCAGCUAAUAGCUGAAAUAAACCUUUAUGGAGCAAUCUCCAGGAUCAGGCUGCCUGAGAUGGACCAUUGGCUGUGUUCCACUAUUUGCAUAUUAAACCCACUAGAGCAAAAAAUAUUUUCAAGAGCUCUAUCACUUAAAAGCCAUAGAUUUCUAAAUUCCGGUAAAGAAACGGGUGACAAGGGUCAGCAAAGGGAGACUUGGAUGUGAAACCAUGCCAGCAGUGGAGCAGACAGCCCCUCCCUGCUCUGCAAAGCUGGGAAUGUGCCAGAUUUCCUUCUUAAACGCAUCGACUCCAAGAGGAGAGACCUGUCAGCUGCUACUUGAAGCCUGAAAUCCAUGAACUCAGAUUGUCCCCAAACAGCACAACCACUUUCUGUGAGAACUGGAAGUUAAGAGAGCUCCCUGGGCUGUUGUUAUCAACCUGAGGAUAACAAACACAUGGAUCAUCAAGAGGGAGUUGGUGCUGGGAAGAAGUGGCAGAGCCUAAUAGCCCAUAAUAAAUAAAUGAAGUUUUGAUCCUAACUUGGAUCUUAGAACUGAGGUAUAAAUGCUUUUAAUGUCUUAAGGGGAAAACUGCCCACACUAGAUGGAAUUAAACAUUCCACUGACUUCUCUUCUUGAUGGUUUCCUUGUUACCAGCUCUUGCAUGCCUCUAUUUUUGUCUUCAUUACCAUUCCAUAUUCAAAUUAUAUCCAUCAGGUUCCAGACGACUCAAGAGGCACGUGCAUAAAACUGGGAAAAAUUACACCUUGACCAUCCAGAUAAAAUUUUAAAAAAUAAUUCAGGCUGAUUAAGUGCUGAGCUACAAAAGGGAAAAAUGACUUCAAUUUCCUAUACAAAAGCUAAAAUAGAGGUGCAAAGUUUAAAAUCACGAAGAGGGAAGAAAAACUGUGUUUGUCCAAAUUAAAUUCUUGGCAUCACUUCCCUUCUUGAAUAAGGUACAUCAGGUGCUUUACAAGAUUGUUUUUAAUUCCUGGAAAUUUUUUCAAUCUCCAGUAGUUUGUCUUGUGAUUAUUCAGCCUGUUAUAAUCCCUUUCAACAUCCGCCCAAGAGGCUGCAAAUCGCUCUCCACUGUCUCUAGUCUCUCUUUUUUUUGUUCAGAGAACUCGGUUCAAACCCUCCUUGUUGACAAACGAAAAAAACCGAGGGAGCCCCAAACACACCCGUGUUUGUGAAGGGCACCGACGGUAAAAGGUGAGCAGCCACCUGGACAGCAGCCAGGGAAUCAGCUCGUCUGGGCUUUAUCAGCCCGGGCCCUGUGCCAGCC